GAUUCAUUCCCACCAGGCUGCAUGUGAAGAAGAUGUCAGCCCAGAAGAGUCUUGCUCUUUGGAAAAAAAAAUUAAGCUUCUUAAGUGCAAAGUUUUAAACUGCCACCAACUGGCGUGUGCUUCAGGGAAGAAGGAAUGAAGGAAAUCAUUGGGAUGGCUAUGAGGCUGCAGGGUACCCUGCAUCCACUCUCUCAACCUGCCAAGUUAAAUGAAGUGGAAUCAAGGAGAGCACAUGGCAGCCUAGCUAGAUUACACAACCAGCCUCUUUUUGUCCCUUUGACCUAGUUGUGGGGCAUGGAACGUGCCUCCUCUGUGUUCCCCAUUCCCCUUUCCAAUGGCUGGAACCUGAAUGUGACAUCAAACCAGCUUCAAACAUGAAGAAAAUGGCAGCGCCCCAGACGACAGCAGACCAGCCCACCUGGACUGUUCACAACAGGACUGUUUCAUAAGAGGAAAAAAAACUGCUUUACUCAUUAAGCCACUGUAUUGUCAGGUCUCUGUUAUAGCAGCUUGUGUGGGCUCAGUCACUCAGUCAACCCCAUGGAUUAUAGCCCAUCAGU